GAUGAACGCUGGCGGCGUGCCUAAUACAUGCAAGUCGAGCGAACAGAUGAGGAGCUUGCUCCUCUGACGUUAGCGGCGGACGGGUGAGUAACACGUGGAUAACCUACCUAUAAGACUGGGAUAACUUCGGGAAACCGGAGCUAAUACCGGAUAAUAUAUUGAACCGCAUGGUUCAAUAGUGAAAGACGGUUUUGCUGUCACGUAUAGAUGGAUCCGCGCCGCAUUAGCUAGUUGGUAAGGUAACGGCUUACCAAGGCAACGAUGCGUAGCCGACCUGAGAGGGUGAUCGGCCACACUAGAACUGAGACACGGUCCAGACUCCUACGGGAGGCAGCAGUAGGGAAUCUUCCGCAAUGGGCGAAAGCCUGACGGAGCAACGCCGCGUGAGUGAUGAAGGUCUUCGGAUCGUAAAACUCUGUUAUUAGGGAAGAACAAAUGUGUAAGUAACUAUGCACGUCUUGACGGUACCUAGUCAGAAAGCCACGGCUAACUACGUG
rnacentral:rRNA from 1 species